UUGGAUAUGAGUUGUUUUACUCAGUCAUUCAAGUACUUGUCGUUUAUUCUAAAAAUACAUCAACUAUACACAACCUUAUUUUCAUAAUUACUCAGAUGAAAAAGAAAGUGGUCUAGAGUCUUCUAUUCCCUUUCCCGACUAUUAGGAUACGAUAUUCUAAAAAUACAUCAACUAUACACAACCUUAUUUUCAUAAUUACUCAGAUGAAAAAGAAAGUGGUCUAGAGUCUUCUAUUCCCUUUCCCGACUAUUAGGAUACGAGUUGUCUUACUCGAUUAUC
rnacentral:lncRNA from 1 species